rnacentral:rRNA from 1 species
GAUGAACGCUGGCGGCGUGCCUAGUACAUGCAAGUCGAGCGAACAGACGAGGAGCUUGCUCCUCUGACGUUAGCGGCGGACGGGUGAGUAACACGUGGAUAACCUACCUAUAAGACUGGGAUAACUUCGGGAAACCGGAGCUAAUACCGGAUAAUAUAUUGAACCGCAUGGUUCAAUAGUGAAAGACGGUUUUGCUGUCACUUAUAGAUGGAUCCGCGCCGCAUUAGCUAGUUGGUAAGGUAACGGCUUACCAAGGCAACGAUGCGUAGCCGACCUGAGAGGGUGAUCGGUCACACUGGAACUGAGACACGGUCCAGACUCCUACGGGAGGCAGCAGUAGGGAAUCUUCCGCAAUGGGCGAAAGCCUGACGGAGCAACGCCGCGUGAGUGAUGAAGGUCUUCGGAUCGUAAAACUCUGUUAUUAGGGAAGAACAAAUGUGUAAGUAACUAUGCACGUCUUGACGGUACCUAAUCAGAAAGCCACGGCUAACUACGUG